AAAGCGUGCGCAGGCGGUUUUGUAAGUCUGUCGUGAAAGCCCCGGGCUUAACCUGGGAAUUGCGAUGGAGACUGCAAGGCUUGAAUCUGGCAGAGGGGGGUAGAAUUCCACGUGUAGCAGUGAAAUGCGUAGAGAUGUGGAGGAACACCGAUGGCGAAGGCAGCCCCCUGGGUCAAGAUUGACGCUCAUGCACGAAAGCGUGGGGAGCAAACAGGAUUAGAUACCCGAGU
rnacentral:rRNA from 1 species